GGCUGUUGUUGCAACUAAAGAUUACAGAUCAAUUGUCUUUCAAGAACCACGCUUUGUUGAGUACUUUCGCCUUGCCACUCCUGAGUUGGAAUAUGGCAGGAUGAACAUUGGUAGCCGGCCGGCGAAACGAAAGCCCAGUGGGGGCAUCGAAACACUACGAGCAAUUCCAUGGAUUUUCGCAUGGACGCAGACAAGGUUUCAUCUUCCAGUCUGGCUUGGAUUUGGC
rnacentral:misc_RNA from 1 species